rnacentral:rRNA from 1 species
AUACCAGCACCUCAAGUGGUCAGGAUGAUUAUUGGGCCUAAAGCAUCCGUAGCCUGUUCUGUAAGUUUCCGGUUAAAUCCAUUAGCUCAACUAAUGGGCCGCCGAAAAUACUGCGGAACUAGGGAGUGGGAGAGGUAGACGGUACUCGGUAGGAAGGGGUAAAAUCCUUUGAUCUAUUGAUGACCACCUGUGGCGAAGGCGGUCUACCAGAACACGUUCGACAGUGAGGGAUGAAAGCUGGGGGAGCAAACCGGAUUAGAUACCCGAGUAGUCC